AGAGCUAAUACAUGAACAAGUGUUCCAACCUCAGCUUGCUGACGGAAGGAUCGCAUUUAUUAGUACAAGACCAAUGAUUCUUAUUCACCUAGAACCCUGUUCAGUGAUUUCGGUCGCUGUCUAAGGACUAGCAGUGGGGAUCUUAGCAAUUUCGAUUGCAUUUCUUGUGAUGACUCUGAAUAACUGAGCAAAUCGUAUGGCCUCUGAGCCGACGAUGUAUCCCUCAAGCAACUGCCUUAUCAACUGUCGAUGGUAGGUUAUGCGCCUACCAUGGUUGUAACGGGUAACGGGGAAUUAGGGUUCGAUUCCGGAGAGGGAGCCUGAGAAACGGCUACCACAUCUAAGGAAGGCAGCAGGCGCGCAAAUUACACAAUCCCAGUACGGGGAUGUAGUGACGAAAAAUAACAAUACGGGACUCUAUUGAGGCCCCGUAAUUGGAAUGAGUACAAUUUAAAUCCUUUAACGAGGAUCUAUUGGAGGGCAAGUCUGGUGCCAGCAGCCGCGGUAAUUCCAGCUCCAAUAGCGUAUAUUAAAGUUGCUGCGGUUAAAAAGCUCGUAGUUGGAUUUCAGUCGAACCUAUGGGGUCCACUGAUUAAAGGGUUAGAUGGUGAUGUUAGGUUUCUUGCUUGUGUCUAAGGAUGCUAGCUUGAACCUUCAUUCCUCUUUCCUGGUGGUUACAUUCAUAGUGUUUAGACAGAAAAUUGCUCGAUAUUUGCUAUCAAUGCUCUUUACCGAGUGUUGAUUCAAGCGAUCGAGACUUUUACCUUGAAAAAAUCAGAGUGCUCAAAGCAGGCGUCCAAAACCUCGAAAGAGGUGCCUAAAAACGGUAUGGUCAACCAUCUAUAUGAUGCGUACCACUACCUUAACUUGAAUGAUCUUGCAUGGAAUAAUGGAAUAGGACCUUGGUUCUAUUUUGUUGGUCUUAAGAAUCCAAGGUAAUGAUUAAGAGGGACAGACGGGGGCAUUUGUAUUGCGGCGCUAGAGGUGAAAUUCUUGGACCGUCGCAAGACAAACUACAGCGAAAGCAUUUGCCAAGAAUGUUUUCAUUAAUCAAGAACGAAAGUUAGAGGUUCGAAGGCGAUCAGAUACCGCCCUAGUUCUAACCAUAAACGAUGCCAACCAGCGAUCAUUCUGAGUAACUAAUUUCAUGACUCGAAUGGAAGCUUCCGGGAAACCAAAGUUUUUGGGUUCCGGGGGAAGUAUGGUUGCAAAGCUGAAACUUAAAGGAAUUGACGGAAGGGCACCACCAGGAGUGGAGCUUGCGGCUUAAUUUGACUCAACACGGGAAAACUCACCCGGCCCGGACACUGAGAGGAUUGACAGAUUGAGAGCUCUUUCUUGAUUCAGUGGGUGGUGGUGCAUGGCCGUUCUUAGUUGGUGGAGUGAUUUGUCUGGUUAAUUCCGAUAACGAACGAGACUCUAGCCUACUAAAUAGACUUGCAGUUUACACUGCAGUACUCCCCCUUAGUCAACCUGUAGGUGGUAGUAUAUCUUGAUGGUUUCGGCUGUUGAGGGCUCUGCUACUAUUAGCCUGCAGAAUUGGCUAGGGUAAGGAUGCUGUAGCACUGUAAGGACUUCUUAGAGGGACAAGCGGCGCUCGCAGCCGCACGAAACAGAGCAAUAACAGGUCUGUGAUGCCCUUAGAUGUCCGGGGCCGCACGCGUGCUACACUGAAGUGGUCAUCGUGCAUACUGUUUCCUGCUCCGAAAGGAGUGGGUAACCGCUUGAACCCAUUUCGUGAUGGGGAUUGGGCAUUGUAAUUAUUGCCCAUG
rnacentral:rRNA from 1 species